rnacentral:lncRNA from 1 species
AAAACAUAAAGUCCUCAUGUCUACGGUAUUGGCUUUGAAGAAAUAAUUUGGUGGCUUUUUAGAUGCAUUGAAUUUGUUGGUAUGUGAUGAGCUAUCAUGGUGGUUAAUUCAAGCAUAUGUAAUUUUCAUUGUUCCACAAAUUGGAAUAGUGGAUUGUGGAUUUCUUAUUAGUUUGGAUACUGUUUUCCUUGUGUUUGGAAAGGCGAUAUGUGG